ACGCUCGACACCUACGGAGGCAGCAGUGAGGAAUAUUGGUCAAUGGACGCAAGUCUGAACCAGCCAUGCCGCGUGCAGGAUGACGGCUCUAUGAGUUGUAAACUGCUUUUGUACGAGGGUAAACGCAGAUACGUGUAUCUGUCUGAAAGUAUCGUACGAAUAAGGAUCGGCUAACUCCGUGCUAGCAGCCGCGGUAAUCUGAGCGGCUGGCAAGGC
rnacentral:rRNA from 1 species